GGGCUGUAGUUCAGGGGUGGAGCAUUUGUCUUGUACACAGGAAGUCCCAGGUUCAAUCCCCAGCAGGCUCA